GGACGCCUUCUAGCACACAUUUUCUCCCUCUAUGCGCUCUGCUUCCUGCUGCAAAGAGGAUGUGAUUCAUCCUCGGCCCAGCAGAAAGUCAUGAAUGGAACAACUCAACUGAAGGAUGCUUCAGGCUUUUACCACAUCUUAAACGAUAGUUUCAGAAAGAGGCAUACUGACUAAAUGGGACGAAGGAACUGCCACAACCCUGGUUUUAAGGAUAGAGGAAGGCAGCCAUGAGCCAGAGAAUCAGAGUCCACAGAAGCUGGAAAACACAAGGAAAUGAGUUCUUCCCCAGGGCCUUGGAAGGGAUGUAGCUAUGCUGACCCGUGAUUUUACCCUAGUGAGACUGUAUUGGAAUUCUGGAACAGUGAAG